rnacentral:rRNA from 1 species
AUUGAACGCUGGCGGCAUGCUUUACACAUGCAAGUCGAGCGGCGGCGCGGACCUUGCCCUUGCGUCCAGCGGCGGACGGGUGAGUAAUGCAUAGGAACGUGCCCGGUAGUGGGGGAUAGCGUCCCGAAACGCGCGCUAAUACCGCAUACGUCCUGAGGGUGAAAGCGGGGGAUCUUCGGACCUCGCGCUAUCAGAGCAGCCUAGGUCGGAUUAGCUAGUUGGUGGGGUAAAGGCCUACCAAGGCGACGAUCCGUAACUGGUCUGAGAGGAUGACCAGUCACACUGGAACUGAGACACGGUCCAGACUCCUACGGGAGGCAGCAGUGGGGAAUAUUGGACAAUGGGCGAAAGCCUGAUCCAGCCAUGCCGCGUGUGUGAAGAAGGUCUUCGGAUUGUAAAGCACUUUUAGUUGGGAGGAAGGGCAGUAAGCUAAUACCUUGCUGUUUUGACGUUACCAAAAGAAUAAGCACCGGCUAACUUCGUG